AGUCGGCCAAACGAUCGCGGGUGCAGGGCGAAAGGCCUGCAUCUGAGGAAAGUCCGGGCUCCACAGGGCAAGGAUAACGGGUAACACCCGCCAGGGGCGACCCUCGGACAAGUGCAACAGAAAUAGACUCCCUGAUCUUCAGGGGAUGGUGGAAAGGUGGGGUAAGAGCCCACCCGUCGCAUGGAGACAUGUGGACGCUGUAAACUCUAUCCGGAGCAACACCGUGGAAGGACAUAAGGCUGGCCCGGCCGUCCUGGGAGGUGGCUGGAGCUGGCCGGUAACGGCCAGCCAAGAUAGAUGAUCGUUCUCGACAGAACCCGGCUUACAGGCCGGCUCAU
rnacentral:RNase_P_RNA from 1 species